GAAGGUACAGCUCUGUGGUAGAGUGAGUGUUUAGCAUGCAUGAGGUCCUGGGUUUGACCCCCAGUACCAUUA
rfam:Camelus ferus unplaced genomic scaffold scaffold89, whole genome shotgun sequence.